UACGUAGGGAGCAAGCGUUGUCCGGAAUCAUUGGGCGUAAAGCGCGCGUAGGUGGCCUCAUAAGUCCGCUGUGAAAGUCAAAGGCUCAACCUUUGAAAGCCGGUGGAUACUGUGGGGGCUAGAGUACGGAAGAGGCGAGUGGAAUUCCUGGUGUAGCGGUGGGAAUGCGUAGAGAUCGGGAAAGAACACCAACGGCGAAAGCACUCUGCUGGGCCGACACUGACACUGAGAGACGAAAGCUAGGGGAGCGAAUGGG
rnacentral:rRNA from 1 species